UCAGGGGCUGGGCGGCCGCCCUAGGGGCCCGCCCGAUGCGCUGAGGGAAAAUGCUGGAGCGCGGGCCCCCACGGGCCCACGGGGAGGCGAAGGGCAGAAGCGGGGGCCUUUCGAGCCAGGCUGAGCCUGAGUGCAAGCUCUGUCCCUCAAGCUCAGGACUAGGCGCUUUUGGGCGCAAAGCGAGUCGCCCACAGAACUCGCGCGCUGGAGGAGACCUGAGUCUGGGAGGGGAGAGAUUUGGAGAAACCGCAUCUCAGCUCCACGAAGGCAGUGGUUUUUGUCUGUUCUCUGCUGUAUUCCCAGUGCCUGAAAUGUGGUUGGCAGGAAACUUUCGUUUUGGCCACACGUGAACGUGUGGGCACGCAGGCGUGUGUGUGCGUCUCUGUGUGUGCAUGCACUGGAUCUUUAUGCAAAGGAUGUAUGGGAACCACAGAAAGUUUUCCUACUUGGAUCUAUUAACUGCAGGACGGGCAACCUUCACAUGGCCACAGCCUGUCGUAACAAACUGGGGGCAGGGGGCACAAUUCCAUCCAUAAUGCAAAUCCAGCUGUGGCUGUCUGGAAGGUCCUGCCCACGGACUGGGCAGACAGGAUACCCGUUAUGUGGCCUCUGAGCUGGGGCUGCUGCUACACACAACAGAGUUCGCACCAGCCCUUGAUGAGGUCAAAGAUUACAUCAGUUGCAGCUUUGCCUGGAAAACAGUACACUGCUCUACAGCUUUCUCCUGCCCUUCUGGUGUCAUGAACCUCCUGCCUCGGGAAAGCUCUGAAAGAGGGGUGUCUACAGUUCACAAGGGCUUCCCAAAUCGAGGGACUCUAACAAACUCUCCAAAAUCUCCUCACUGUGCUUCUCUUUGUUCGGAAGAGAGCAUCUGGAUGACAUGUGGAUUCUUCAGCUCCAAGCACAUGGCUGGAACAGGAGAUGCCAACAGCCAAGUCCAGGAGAUUCUUCUUACGCAGUAAGUCACGGGACGGGCCUGUGAACCAUCUGCCAUUAGAGAGAGAGGAGCUGAAAAGAAAUCCUGUGUAGAUUAGAGGCUGUCUCCUUCUGUCUCUUAAACAAGCACAACUUGGAUUCGAACUGCAGUAUGAACAAGAGAGGAUUUCAAGGUGCUGAACAUCUAAUCUCAAGGGAUUCGAGGUGGUUGACUUCCUAUCGUGUGCGCUGUGGUGGAUGCUACGGAGGCGUUAUCCGACUUGAUCAUCGUGGCCUCCGUCCCUAUUUUACAGGUAAGUACACCCGGGCUGCAAGAGGCUGGCUGAUUUUCCUGCGGCCGCACAGCUGGUGAGCAGCAAACUAGGAUUUGUACCUUCGUCCUGCCCAACUCAGAGUACAUGCUGUUCUACUACAUCAAGCAUUUAACGUUCUGAGAUGCUGAGAUUCUGUGCUUCGGUGAUCCUGUGACAAUGAUUCUAAGGUUGCCGCGUUUGAAGACU